UACGGAGGGUGCAAGCGUUAAUCGGAAUUACUGGGCGUAAAGCGCACGUAGGCGGCUGAGUCAGUCGAUUGUGAAAGCCCUGGGCUCAACCUGGGAAUUGCAGUCGAUACUACGCAGCUAGAGUAUGGUAGGGGCAGAGGGAAUUCCUGGUGUAGCGGUGAAAUGCGUAGAGAUCAGGAAGAACAUCGGUGGCGAAGGCGCUCUGCUGGACCAUAACUGACACUCAGGGACGAAAGCUAGGGGAGCGAAUGGG
rnacentral:rRNA from 1 species